AGGGAAUCUUGCGCAAUGGGCGAAAGCCUGACGCAGCGACGCCGCGUGAGCGAUGAAGGCCUUCGGGUCGUAAAGCUCUGUGGGGCGGGACGAAUAAGGUUUGGCUAAUAUCCAAAUCGAUGACGGUACCGCCUUAGCAAGCACCGGCUAACUCUGUGCCAGCAGCCGCGGUAAGACAGAGGGUGCAAACGUUGUUCGGAAGUACUGGGCGUAAAGCGCGUGUAGGCGGCUGCGCAAGUCGGGCGUGAAAUCCCACGGCUCAACCGUGGAAGUGCACUCGAAACUGCGUAGCUUGAGUCCUGGAGAGGAAGGUGGAAUGCUUGGUGUAGAGGUGAAAUUCGUAGAUAUCAAGCGGAACACCGGUGGCGAAGGCGACCUUCUGGACAGUGACUGACGCUGAGACGCGAAAGCGUGGGGAGCAAA
rnacentral:rRNA from 1 species